AAUUCUCUUUGGCCUUAUGGUGCCCUAGUACUAAGGCUCCCACUACUACAAGCUGAAAUCACUAAAGAACUAAAAUUACUAAGAGCUGAAAUCACUGAGCACUGUGUCAAGUAGUGGGGCGCCUGAAGAUCUAGAGCACAGCGGAGCCGUUU